rnacentral:tRNA from 1 species
GCGGGAGUAACUCAACGGUAGAGUGUCAGCUUCCCAAGCUGAAGGUUGCGAGUUCGAAUCUCGUCUCCCGCUCCA